rnacentral:rRNA from 1 species
UCGAAAGAAGGAGCCGUAACACAGGUGCUGCAUGGCUGUCGUCAGCUCGUGUCGUGAGAUGUUGGGUUAAGUCCCGCAACGAGCGCAACCCUUGCCAUUAGUUGCUACGAAAGGGCACUCUAAUGAGACUGCCGGUGACAAACCGGAGGAAGGUGGGGAUGACGUCAAGUCCUCAUGGCCCUUAUAGGUGGGGCUGCACACGUCAUACAAUGGCUGGUACAAAGGGUUGCCAACCCGCGAGGGGGAGCCAAUCCCAUAAAGCCAGUCGUAGUCCGGAUCGCAGUCUGCAACUCGACUGCGUGAAGUCGGAAUCGCUAGUAAUCGUGGAUCAGCAUGUCACGGUGAAUACGUUCCCGGGUCUU